CCACAGGUCUGUUCUCUCCUUUCUGCAUGACCCUCAGCUGCACACAGCGUCAGAGAAUUUCACUCAGCAAAGACGUCUUUACUAACUGGUGCUGCAGACGAGCGCCUCGUGAUUGAACAACUGGAACCAACCACUCAUAUGUCAAGGAAAAAAUGAAGGGAAUCACGAGGGUUCAGUGUUCCUGCUUGCUGCUGCUUCUGCUCUCUGCUGCUGUGCUCGCACAAAC